rnacentral:rRNA from 1 species
GACGAACGCUGGCGGCGUGCUUAACACAUGCAAGUCGAACGGUGAAGCGCCUUCCUUUUUGGUGGGUGUGGAUGAGUGGCGAACGGGUGAGUAACACGUGAGUAACCUGCCCCCUUCUUCUGGAUAACCGCAUGAAAGUGUGGCUAAUACGGGAUAUUCUGGGUCUGUCGCAUGAUGGGUCUGGGAAAGAUAUUGUUUCGGUGGGGGAUGGGCUCGCGGCCUAUCAGCUUGUUGGUGGGGUGAUGGCCUACCAAGGCGGUGACGGGUAGCCGGCCUGAGAGGGUGGACGGUCACACUGGGACGGAGACACGGCCACGACUCCUACGGGCGGCAGCAGUGGGGAAUAUUGCACAAUGGGCGCAAGGCUGAUGCAGCGACGCCGCGUGAGGGAUGGAGGCCUUCGGGUUGUGAACCUCUUUCGCCAGUGAAGCAGGCCUGCCGCGUUUGUGGGUGGGUUGACGGUAGCUGGAUAAGAAGCGCCGGCUAACUACGUG